UACGGAGGAUGCGAGCGUUAUCCGGAUUUAUUGGGUUUAAAGGGUGCGUAGGCGGAUCGUUAAGUCAGUGGUCAAAUUGAGGGGCUCAACCCCUUCCCGCCAUUGAAACUGGCGCUCUUGAGUGGAAGAGAAGUAUGCGGAAUGCGUGGUGUAGCGGUGAAAUGCAUAGAUAUCACGCAGAACCCCGAUCGCGAAGGCAGCAUGCCGGCUUCCGACUGACGCUGAAGCACGAAAGCGUGGGGAUCGAACAGG
rnacentral:rRNA from 1 species